CGUAAUAACAGAAACUAAUCAGGAUUCCCUUAGUAACGGCGAGUGAACUGGGAUACCAAUAUAUUUAUGCGUCUCUGACACGUAUUUUUAGCCCGUCGAUACUAUCCUAGCGUAUUACCGGUUUCGGCCGGUAGCCCAAUACGCGGGAAUUGUAGCAUCGUAAUAAAAUAUACACCAUGCCUGCGUCGCAAACGUAUAUACACGUAUACUCACACACACACAUACUCUCGUACGCGUACACACCCCUUGCAAACACACAGCGCUCCCGCGUUGGAAAGCAAGUCUAUAUCCUCUUUGGAUAUGCCAUAGAGUGUGACAGCCACGUUUGAAACACCCUACGUACCGUACACACACAUACGUAAAAUACGCGCUGCUUCGCAUACGCAUACCGUAUAUAACCUGAGUCGAGUUAUUU
rnacentral:rRNA from 1 species